rnacentral:lncRNA from 1 species
AAGGACUACCGGCGGUUUUUUUCUCUUUCCCCGUUUUCCACCCGUUUUUCCGCUUCGCCAAGUCCGCUCGCUUUCGCAAUUUUCCGACGAUUUCGCGAGAAAACGUAGCGUCGAACUUCAACCGCCCCCGCUACCUCAAAAGUUCAGCCGCGGCUAGUGUGUUUUUUGUUUUGUUUUGUUUUUUUCAAAAUUCUGCGGAGAUUCGCCUUCAGAACUCCAGAUUUUCGAGGAUUUUUACGAGACUUUUUCAGGUUUUUUCAAGACCUUUGAAAGGUGAAGUACUACCGGCUGUGUCGACUAUAUUUUCGCGUAUGACCGACGUUUUCGCGAGAGAACGUAGCGUCGAACUUCAACUGCCCCCGCUCUCUUGAAAUCUCAGCCGUGGCUAGUGUUUUUUUUUUUUUGAAAAUUCUUUGAAGAUUUCUUCAAGAUUCCAAAUUGCUCAAGAUUUUUUCAAGAUUUUUCAAAGGUGGAGUACUUCCGGCUGUGUCGACUUUAUUUUCGCGUAUGACCGAUCAUUCCCGAGGAAACGUAACGUUGAACUUAUCUUGAAUCCCAACUUGCCCCAGCUUCCUUGAAAUUUGGCCGCGGAUAGUGCCUUCUGUAAGGAUUCUGUUGUGUUUUCCUCAAGAUUUUUAGAUUUUUUAAAGGUUUUUCAAGAUAUCAUAAGGAAAAAAGCCCUGUCGACUGUAUUCCGGCGUGUGUUCGGUGUUUAUCGUGUGAUUUUGUGAGUGUUCUGUGCUUGUGAGCACAUUUUUCGGGCAAUGUUAAUGAUCUAGAUUUCGCGUGUCUCUUAUGGGUCAAGGAUACCUGUUGGAGUUACGGAAACCAGCUCAUGACCUUGAGGCCUAAUCUCUCCAGUGUUUGAAACGAGAUUUCCUUAAAAAAAGGGCCUUUUAAAUGCGUUCUGAAUCAGAUCUAAUUAUUACUCAUGAGAUUUCUUCGAGGAGAACACUGCAGUCAAAUCGAGCAACUGUUCCGCCAGCAUGUACAUUGGAAGUGGCGCAGGCUCUACGACAGCCAUGCCCACAGACUCUGUGCCGAUUGUCGACAGUUCAAGGGGAGAGCCCAAAAAAGAAAAAGUUCCUACCAGUAAGUAUUUUAAGCCCACAAUUCUUCUGAAUUUACAUGUAUCACCCAUAGAGAUUUUUUGAGAGAGCAUUUUUUUGGCAUAAAGAUGAUGAGGACCAUAUAGGCAGCUUGCCCAGGUAUGCUUUGGAUACGUGAAAAGUAAGAGUAAAGAGAUGAAAAGUUUGCAUGAGACUGAAUUAUUUGUUAUGGUCUGAAGUGAAUAUUUACUUCUACAGGAUAAAAGCACUUUUUGGAUCAAAAUGGUCGUGUGAUGAGUGCGCUAUUUGACACUGGCACCUGAAAUGGUCCUGAAAUAAAGUUUCUUGAACCAAAUAAAACCUUCAAUUUUCGUGAAAAGCGAUAAAAUACUCUCAUAUCAGUAGCUAACAUUUCAAAGAAUUGCAUCUU